GAAAGGGCAAGGGUCCCUUUCCAAUGACUCUGCAAAAUCUUGGAAUCUCAUUGACUUUGAUUGGAUCAUUUUCCCUUGAAUUGAUCACUGUAGCCUGGUGACUAGCUUUGACUUGGGUCACAUCCUCCACAGAGGUCUAUGCAAACACGUGGACUGGGAAUGGAAGAGGGAGAGUCCUUCAGAAGGAAAUGAAGAUAUUUAACAAAAAGGGAAGAAGGAAUGCAAGAUGUGGCUAUUAUGAGCAAGGCUGUCAUGAACACUCUUCUACAUGUUUGCUGGCACAGAUGUUCAAGAACACCUCAGUGGUAUCCACCAAGAAAUGGAAUUGCCAGCUCAGUGGAUUUGAGCAACUUCGACUUUACUGUCUUUCUGCAUUGCUGCGGGGAAAUCUCAUAAUGAUGCUUCGUGAGAGGAGAAAGCCCAUCUCAGAGAGAAAUGGCUGAAAACCUUUGCUAACUUGGCUGCGUCUUUCAAUCUCUUCUAAGCAAUUCCGCCUCCCCACCCAUCACCAAAGAGGAAUGAUGUCUCUUCGAAAGAUCUUCCAUCCCCAGUAGGAUGCCUGUGGAUCUUAUAGAACAGCCCAGAAGAACUUUCCCAUCCCAGCUGCACAUAAUGCGAACACUGAGAGGGCAGCUGAACGAGGCCCUGAGCACGGAUUCAAGUGCCCACAGGCCUAUGCCUGAAACUUUCACACAUUUAUUUUCCCUGUCCUCCACCUGCAGACACACACAUCAGGAGCAAGGAGACAGCCCGGUGUGUGCAGUUGAGGGGCCCACACUUGAGCGGCUGAUAAUUACCUCACUAUAUGUGAUUUUAAGUCUGAAGCCAAAACGCUGGUGCCUGCUAACCCCAAUUAAGAUCAGGAACUCCUUGCUGUCUCUCUUGCUCUCACUCUCACCUACUCAAGAACAGCUUCAUUUUAGCAUUUGACUUUUUUCCCUCUCUGUGCUGUGAGACUUGUGAUAUAAG
rnacentral:lncRNA from 1 species